CAUAGAACAGGGAACAACAGCUUCCGCUGUGUCGAGUGUCUACUAUGCGCCAGGAGCCACUCCAGCUGUUCCAGGAAGAUCAUCUGUAAUCCUCACCACGGCUCUAAGUUAGGCAAAAUUGAAACCCUCAUUUUAUAGAUGAGGCCUCUGAGGCACAGAGAGGUUAAGUGACUCACCCAAGGUCACACAGCUAGUAACUGGAGGGCAAGGAAGCCUCGUGACUUGAGUGUGCAGCGUUGCCUUAUUGAAUGCCUCAAAGCCUUUGCCUCCUUCUCCAGGGACCAGCUGGGUCAUGUGUUCGUCGGAGCAGGACCCAAACUGUGAGUUCUGGAGGCUGAAAGGUUCAAGGUCAAGGGACUGCAUCUGGUGAGGGCCUUCUUGCUCAUUUGGACUCUAUAUGGAGUCCCGAGGCAGCACAGGGCAUCACAGGAUGCAGUUUUGCCACGUUGGCCAGGCUGGUCUAGAACUCCUGACCUCAAGUGAUCUACCCUCCUCGGCCUCCCAAAGUGCUGGGAUUAGAGGUGUGCACCACUGCCCCCAGCCCAUGAGCCACUGCACCCAGCUCAGUAAGCACUUUAAAAGAAGACCUGGACAUCAGAGCCUCUCUCCUGCUGGUUUUGAAGAAGCAAGCUGCCACAAGUCUACAGCUGUAAGGAAAUGAAUUGUGCCAACGAUCCCAUGUGCUUGAAAGAGGACCCUGAACCUCAGAUGAGACCCAGUCCCAGGAGACAGAUUGAGUGCUGCCUCUCAGGACCCUGAACAGAGGAGCCAGUUGAACCAUCAACAGGCUCCUGACCCACAGAAACUGUGAGACAAUAAACGUGUAUUGUCUUAAGCUCCUAAGUGUG
rnacentral:lncRNA from 1 species